GAUGAACGCUGGCGGCAUGCUUUACACAUGCAAGUCGAACGGUAACAGGCCUUCGGGUGCUGACGAGUGGCGAACGGGUGAGUAAUGCAUCGGAACGUGCCCAAUCGUGGGGGAUAACGUAGCGAAAGUUACGCUAAUACCGCAUAAGCCCUGAGGGGGAAAGCAGGGGAUCGCAAGACCUUGCGCGAAUGGAGCGGCCGAUGUCAGAUUAGCUAGUUGGUGGGGUAAAGGCCUACCAAGGCGACGAUCUGUAGCGGGUCUGAGAGGAUGAUCCGCCACACUGGGACUGAGACACGGCCCAGACUCCUACGGGAGGCAGCAGUGGGGAAUUUUGGACAAUGGGCGCAAGCCUGAUCCAGCCAUGCCGCGUGCGGGACGAAGGCC
rnacentral:rRNA from 1 species